GUUAUUUGAGUUUCAAUUUCACCUUCUCAAAAUAAAUAAAUAAUUAAAAACCCUUCAGCUUCUCAAAUUAUAGUAUCGAAAAUAGAUGGAUAUUUUAAAUUUUGUUUUAGAUUGUGGAUGUGAUUUUUCUAAUUAUUUUAACUUUUACUACUAUCAUUUCAAAUUAUUUUGAAGGUUACUUGAAUUUGAACAUAUUCGACCAUUAAAAAUUU
rnacentral:misc_RNA from 1 species